rnacentral:rRNA from 1 species
GACGAACGCUGGCGGCGUGCCUAAUACAUGCAAGUCGAGCGAAGUUUUUCUGGUGCUUGCACUAGAAAAACUUAGCGGCGAACGGGUGAGUAACACGUAAAGAACCUGCCUCAUAGACUGGGACAACUAUUGGAAACGAUAGCUAAUACCGGAUAACAGUAUUUCUCGCAUGAGAGAUAUUUAAAAGUUGGUUAUGCUAACACUAUGAGAUGGCUUUGCGGUGCAUUAGCUAGUUGGUGGGGUAAAGGCCCACCAAGGCGACGAUGCAUAGCCGACCUGAGAGGGUGAUCGGCCACACUGGGACUGAGACACGGCCCAGACUCCUACGGGAGGCAGCAGUAGGGAAUCUUCCGCAAUGGGCGAAAGCCUGACGGAGCAACGCCGCGUGAGUGAAGAAGGAUUUCGGUUCGUAAAGCUCUGUUGUUAGGGAAGAAUGGAUAUGUAGUAACUAUACAUGUAAGAGACGGUACCUAAACAGAAAGCCACGGCUAACUACGUG